rnacentral:rRNA from 1 species
GACGAACGCUGGCGGCGUGCCUAAUACAUGCAAGUAGAACGCACAGUUUAUACCGUAGCUUGCUACACCAUAGACUGUGAGUUGCGAACGGGUGAGUAAUGCGUAGGUAACCUGCCUGGUAGCGGGGGAUAACUAUUGGUAACGAUAGCUAAUACCGCAUAAUAUUAAUUAUUGCAUGAUAAUUAAUUGAAUGGUGCAAUUGCACCACUACCAGAUGGACCUGCGUUGUAUUAGCUAGUAGGUGAGGUAACGGCUCACCUAGGCGACGAUACAUAGCCGACCUGAGAGGGUGGUCGGCCACACUGGGACUGAGACACGGCCCAGACUCCUACGGGAGGCAGCAGUAGGGGAUCUUCGGCAAUGGACGAAAGUCUGACCGAGCAACGCCGCGUGAGUGAAGGAAGUUUUCGGGGCGUAAAACUCUGUUGUAAGAGAAGAACGAGUGUGAGAGUGGAAAGUUCACACUGUGACGGUAUCUUAACAAAAAGGGACGGCUAACUACGUG